rnacentral:rRNA from 1 species
CCCUUAGAUGUUCUGGGCCGCACGCGCGCUACACUGACGAAUGCAACGAGCUUAUAACCUUGGCCGAAAGGUCUGGGUAAUCUCCAAAUUUCGUCGUGAUGGGGAUAGAUUAUUGCAAUUAUUAAUCUUCAACGAGGAAUGCCUAGUAAGCGCAAGUCAUCAGCUUGCGUUGAUUACGUCCCUGCCCUUUGUACACACCGCCCGUCGCUCCUACCGAUUGAAUGGUCCGGUGAAGCGUUCGGACCGUGGCCUUUGGACGGUUCGCCGUCUGUUGGCUGCGGGAAGUUCGUUAAACCUUAUCAUUUAGAGGAAGGAGAAGUAGUAACA